AAGAUAUGCAUUCAGUAGAAGGAGUACCCUGAAUUUAUUAUUUUGCUCUCUCUCAAGACAAACAAUAUGCCAUAUCAUACUCUUUCCUGGUCCUGUCGGCAGUAGUGAACCUGAGCUCCGGGUUUUAAUUCACAGAAGGGCUCCAUGUUAAUGAGGUCCAAUCUCACAGUCUUUUGCUUUGUGUGUGUGGUGCAAGCUCCCUACAACCCCAAGGUCAAAGAUCAGCUUCACCAGACUAAAUCAUUUGGCUUCUGCUUCUCUGUGGGCCGACAUGUCUUCCGAAUAUGGUUAAGAGUAGCUGAACAAAUGGCAAAAAAUCAGAUUUCUGAAGGAAUCUGAGUACAAAAGAAACAAGGAGGAUUAAAGGGACUAAAACAUCAAACAGAGAGACAAGAACUGCUCAGAGGCGGAUGAGGACCUGCAGUUGCCUUUCCGGGAUGGUAUUUGCCAAAUCAGAGCUGGCAAAAGAAGAGCAGGCUGGCUCAGCCCAGGCUUCAGACUCUUCUGGGGAAUUAGCCGUCAAUAGAGGUUUCAGCACUGGCUCAGGGGUGGAGUCAAGAAGUAGGAGCCCUGUGAUACUGAAAGAGAGUUGUCUUCUCCUUCAACCUUUGUUUUAUUCUGAAGCUUCCUGGGGCAAGAUUCCCAAACACUAAGCCAAAAAUAUUCUCGUAAACACAAUUAAAACUCAUACCAUCUCUGAGGGUCAGUGAAACCGAGACACCGUCCCCAAACAACCCAAGCAAUCAAAAGUCUCAAGGGACCAGUCCCCCACCCCCCAGUGCUGGGCAUCCAACCCUGGGCCUCAUGCAUGCUAGGCACCAUGCAGGUAGAAAUGUUUAGGAUAAUGCAAUAGGGAGCAUCGAACUAAUAACAUAGACCCAAAUAUAUGUCUGUAAGUAGACUAAGAGUUGACUCCGUUUUUCAAGUUUUCAAGUUGACUCAGUUUUUUGAGUUUUCACAUGACGACUUAAAAUACUCAAGAUGAAUAUACUCAAGAAGAUAGAGAAAAGGAAGAAAAUGUGGGUUAAAAAUGGAGAAUUUUACUAGAAGAUUAACAUCUAUAAAUAGAUUUAGAGUAAUACUGUGAAACAGAAAAUGUGACAUAUGAGAUCAAGAGCUCCAAUGAUGGGUGAGCAAUGGAUUAAACAGAAACGGCAAGAUUUCUAACUGGAGAGGAAGGCAAUAAAAUGUACACAGACAACAGUAGAGGAAAAAACAUAGCGAGAAAUAGAAAUGCAAGCAGGAGGCAGGCAGGCCUUAACUGUAGGGCAUUAAUAAAUAAUGGAGUCCCAGAAAAGAGGUGAGGGGAAAUAGCAAUAUUAAGAGAAAAAAGAAUGUUAUUACUUUUUUUGUUGUUGUUUAUCAAAGGCUCACGGGCAAAUUAAUGUGAGGUAUUAAAUGAUGACAUUAUUCCAGUAAAAAGUUUUCAAUUUAAAUAUCUCAA